UACAGAGGGGGCAAGCGUUGUUCGGAAUUACUGGGCGUAAAGGGCGCGUAGGCGGCCUGCUAAGUCGAACGUGAAAUCCCCGGGCUCAACCCGGGAACUGCGUCCGAUACUGGCAGGCUUGAAUCCGGGAGAGGGGUGUGGAAUUCCAGGUGUAGCGGUGAAAUGCGUAGAUAUCUGGAGGAACACCGGUGGCGAAGGCGGCAUCCUGGACCGGUAUUGACGCUGAGGCGCGAAAGCCAGGGGAGCAAACGGG
rnacentral:rRNA from 1 species